ACAUGUUCACUCUCACCCAAGGUUCCUGCAGUUUCAACUUGCUAUAUAAUUUCUUCUCUGUUUGUUUGAAUUAAGUCCACUAUGGCUGUCCCUCUAGUUUCACCCUCUAUCUUUUGCACAACAAAGUUGUCAGCUAGGUUGGUUAGGAACUUAUUUGAUUUCUCACUUGGUGAAGAAUUAGUUUUCCAAUUG